rnacentral:rRNA from 1 species
UACGUAGGGUGCGAGCGUUGUCCGGAAUUAUUGGGCGUAAAGGGCUCGUAGGCGGUCUGUUGCGUCGGGAGUGAAAACUCAGGGCUUAACCCUGAGCCUGCCUCCGAUACGGGCAGACUAGAGGUAUGCAGGGGAGAACGGAAUUCCUGGUGUAGCGGUGAAAUGCGCAGAUAUCAGGAGGAACACCGGUGGCGAAGGCGGGACUCUGGGCCGAUACUGACGCUGAGGAGCGAAAGCGUGGGGAGCGAACAGG